rnacentral:misc_RNA from 1 species
GCAGAAUUCAGUGAAUCAUCGAAUCUUUGAACGCAAAUGGCGCUCUUGGGUUCUCCCAGGAGCAUGUCUGUCUGAGUGUCUUUUUCGUUGAAUGACAUUCGCACGAUGUGGCCGUGUUAUGCACUGGCGUUUCGUGCGGCGUUGAGGUUCGCGGCCUUGCUAUUCUUAGGCCGCGUGCCUUUAAAUGGAGGAGGAAGAUGGGCUCAAGGUCCGGUGCAGUCGCAUGCGGAUUCAGUUGAUGUGCCGCAUGUGACUGCUGCAUCGGGAAUAUUGUCCUCGGCCCUCUACCUCGUGACCUUUAGCACGACGCUCGUUCGUUCGUUCGUUCGUUCGUUCGUUCGUUCGUUCGUUCGUUGCUUGCCGCCAGACCUCAGAUCAGGCAAGGCUACCCGCUGAAUUUAAGCAUAUUAAUAAGCGGAGGAAAAGAAACUAACAAGGAUUCCCCCAGUAACGGCGAGUGAAGCGGGAAGAGCUCAAAUUUGAAAUCUCCGAUGCCUGCAUCGGCGAGUUGUAGUUGCGAGAAGCACUUUCUAGGCGGAAGGGCCCUGCCUAAGUUGCUUGGAACAGCACGUCGCAGAGGGUGACAACCCCGUCU